GUUGUGGAUUCCUAAUGUCCAUUAUGGCUCUAAUAUGAUAAUGGUAGUAGGUUGGUGGAUGUCUAGUGUCCCUUAUGGCUCUAAUCUGAUAGUGGUAGUGGGGUGGUAGAUUCCUAGUGUCCCUUAUGGCUCUAAUCUGAUAGUGGUAGUGGGGUGGCAGAUUCCUAGUGUCCCUUAUGGCUCUAAUCUGAUAGUGGUAGUGGCGUGGUAGAUUCCUAGGGUCCCUUAUGGCUCUAAUCUGAUAGUGGUAUGGGGUGGUAGAUUCCUAGUGUCCCUUGUGGCUCUAAUAUGAUAAUGGCAGUAGGGUGGUGGAUGUCUAGUGUCCCUUAUGGCUCUAAUAUGAUAAUGGUAGUAGGGUGGUGGAUGUCUAGUGUCCCUUAUGGCUCUAAUAUGAUAAUGGCAGUAGGGUGGUGGAUGUCUAGUGUCCCUUAUGGCUCUAAUAUGAUAAUGGUAGUAGGGUGGUGGAUGUCUAGUGUCCCUUAUGGCUCUAAUCUGAUAGUGGUAGUGGGGGGUGGCAGAUUCCUAGUGUCCCUUAUGGCUCUAAUCUGAUAGUGGUAGUGGGGUGGUAGAUUCCUAGUGUCCCUUAUGGCUCUAAUAGGAUAGUGGUAGUGCGGGGUGGUAGAUUCCUAGUGUACCUUAUGGCUCUAAUCUGAUAGUGGUAGUGGGGGGUGGCAGAUUCCUAGUGUCCCUUAUGGCUCUAAUCUGAUAGUGGUAGUGGGGUGGUAGAUUCCUAGGGUCCCUUAUGGCUCUAAUAGGAUAGUGGUAGUGGGGUUGUAGAUUCCUAGUGUCCCUUAUGGCUCUAAUCUGAUAGUGGUAGUGGGGUGGUUGAUUCCUAGUGUCCCUUAUGGCUCUAAUCUGAUAGUGGUAGUGGGG
ensembl:lncRNA